AGAGUUUGAUCAUGGCUCAGGAUGAACGCUAGCGGCAGGCCUAAUACAUGCAAGUCGAACGCUCAGUAGCAAUACUGGGAGUGGCGCACGGGUGCGUAACGCGUACACAAUCUACCUCUAAGCGGGGGACACCUCCUGGAAACGGGGAUUAAUACCGCAUAAUAUGCCGAAGUCGCAUGACUUUGGUAUUAAAGCAGCAAUGCACUUAGAGAUGAGUGUGCGUCCCAUUAGGUAGUUGGUGAGGUAACGGCUCACCAAGCCUAUGAUGGGUAGCCGGUCUGAGAGGAUGGUCGGCCACACGGGCACUGAGACACGGGCCCGACUCCUACGGGAGGCAGCAGUAAGGAAUAUUGGUCAAUGGUGGAAACACUGAACCAGCCAUGCCGCGUGGAGGAAUAAGGUCCUACGGAUUGAAAACUCCUUUUGACGAGGAAGAAAAUGUUAGAUUUAUCUAAUUUUGACGGUACUCGUAGAAUAAGCACCGGCUAACUCCGUG
rnacentral:rRNA from 1 species